GCGUUUAUGGUGGAAUGGUAGACACGCUAUCUUGAGGGGGUAGUAUCUUUUAGGUGUGCGAGUUCAAGUCUCGCUAAACGCACCA
rnacentral:tRNA from 1 species